rnacentral:rRNA from 1 species
UACGAAGGGGGCUAGCGUUGUUCGGAUUUACUGGGCGUAAAGCGCACGUAGGCGGAUUGUUAAGUCAGGGGUGAAAUCCUGGAGCUCAACUCCAGAACUGCCUUUGAUACUGGCAAUCUUGAGUCCGGAAGAGGUGAGUGGAACUCCUAGUGUAGAGGUGGAAUUCGUAGAUAUUCGCAAGAACACCAAUGGCGAAGGCAGCUCGCUGGGACGGUACUGACGCUGAGGCGCGAAAGCGUGGGGAGCGAAC